UACGGAGGGUGCAAGCGUUAUCCGGAUUCACUGGGUUUAAAGGGUGCGUAGGUGGAUCGGUAAGUCCGUGGUGAAAUCCCCGAGCUUAACUCGGGAACUGCCGUGGAUACUAUCGAUCUUGAAUACUGUGGAGGUAAGCGGAAUAUGUCAUGUAGCGGUGAAAUGCUUAGAUAUGACGCAGAACACCAAUUGCGAAGGCAGCUUGCUACACUACUAUUGACACUGAGGCACGAAAGCGUGGGGAUCAAACAGG
rnacentral:rRNA from 1 species